AGGGUGACAGGUGGUGCAUGGUUGUCGUCAGCUCGUGUCGUGAGAUGUUGGUUAAGUCCCGCAACGAGCGCAACCCUCGACCUUAGUUGCCAGCAUUCAGUUGGGGCACUCUAAGGUGACUGCCGGCUAAGAGUCGGAGGAAGGUGGGGAUGACGUCAAAUCAUCAUGCCCCUUAUGACCUGGGCUACACACGUGCUACAAUGGGCGGUACAAAGGGUCGCGAACCCGCGAGGGGGAGCCAAUCCCAAAAAGCCGCUCUCAGUUCGGAUUGCAGGCUGCAACUCGCCUGCAUGAAGCCGGAAUCGCUAGUAAUCGCGGAUCAGCAUGCCGCGGUGAAUACGUUCCCGGGCCUU
rnacentral:rRNA from 1 species